rnacentral:rRNA from 1 species
CCAAAAAAUAUAGUAACGAAGCCCGUGAGCCAUGCGUCAAGAAAAGCCGCUAUUGUUUAUAUUGUACCCGUACCGUAAACCGACACAGGUGGAUGAGGAGAGAAUCCUAAGGCCGGCGGAAGAAGUAUUGCCAAGGAACUCGGCAAAAUGGCCCCGUAACUUAGGGAGAAGGGGUGCCUGCGAGAGCAGGCCGCAGAGAAUAGGCUCAAGCAACUGUUUAGCAAAAACACAGGUCUAUGCGAAACCGAAAGGUGAGGUAUAUGGGCUGACGCCUGCCCGGUGCUGGAAGGUUAAGAGGAGAGGUUAGACGCAAGUCGAAGCUUUGAAUUUAAGCCCCAGUAAACGGCGGCCGUAACAAUAACGGUCCUAAGGUAGCGAAAUUCCUUGUCGGGUAAGUUCCGACCCGCACGAAAGGCGUAAUGAUUUGAGCGCUGUCUCGGCAAUACAUCCGGUGAAAUUGAAGUGCCAGUGAAGAUGCUGGCUACCCGCGCCAGGACGGAAAGACCCCAUGGAGCUUUACUCCAGUUUGGCACUGGGGUCCGGUGCUGCAUGUACAGGACAGGUGGGAGGCUGAGAGAUAGUGACGUCAGUUGCUAUGGAGCCGCUGUUGGGAUACCACCCUUGUGACAUUGGGCUUCUAACCAGCCGCCGUGAACCGGCGGUGGGACAAUGCCAGGCGGGGAGUUUGACUGGGGCGGUCGCCUCCGAAAGGGUAUCGGAGGCGCCCAAAGGUUCCCUCAGAAUGGACGGAAACCAUUCGAAGAGUGCAAAGGCAGAAGGGAGCUUGACUGCGACACCGACGGGUGGAGCAGGUACGAAAGUAGGGCUUAGUGAUCCGGUGGUAUUAUGUGGGAAUGCCAUCGCUCAACGGAUAAAAGCUACCCCUGGGAUAACAGGCUUAUCACUCCCAAGAGUUCACAUCGACGGAGUGGUUUGGCACCUCGAUGUCGGCUCAUCGCCUCCUGGGGCUGUAGUAGGUCCCAAGGGUUGGGCUGUUCGCCCAUUAAAGCGGUACGCGAGCUGGGUUCAGAACGUCGUGAGACAGUUCGGUCCCUAUCCGGCGUGGGCGUAGGAUAUCUGAGAGGAGCUGUCCUUAGUACGAGAGGACCGGGAUGGACGGACCGCUGGUGGACCGGUUGGCUUGCCAAAGCCAUGGCCGGGUAGCCAAGUCCGGAAGGGAUAAACGCUGAAGGCAUCUAAGCGUGAAGCCCCCCUCAAGAUGAGAUAUCCCAUUCUUUAAGAAGUAAACCCCCUUGAAGACGACGAGGUAGAUAGGGCAGAGGUGGAAGUGUGGUAACACAUGGAGCUGACUGUUACUAAUCGGGUGAGGGCUUGACCAA